GGGGGAAGCGUGGGAGCCGUGGGUCGUGGAAAAGGAAGGUGUGACUCUCACGUCUUUUCCCAGCUUCGUUUGAUGGGAGAAAAAGAUGGAGUUUGCACCCAGAAAAGCCCCACCUGCGACACCCCAAGACCGGCCUUUUACGCACAAACCUUUUACGCACAAACCUUUUUACGCACAGAAAGAACCCCCAUCUCAUACCACUUUUGGGGUGGAGACCUCUCCCUACAGAAUCCAGACCUUUUCCCCACAAUCCUUGGGUUGCAAAAGGGGGGUUCCCUUCCUCCCUUGUCUAUCAGCCCCCCAAUUUUCUAAAACAGAACACAAUUCACAUUCAUUUUGGACCCAUUUCCCCCUGCUGUUUGGAUCCUGACGCCAACGGGGAGCGCGGCGAAGGAGACGAAGGAACGGGUGGAGGAACGGCGUUACAGGCCCAGCAACGACGUUACACCCAUCCCUCCCUGGCCCCGAUCCUUCAGUAUAGAUAAGAAAACCCACUCGCCAAAGAGACACACAAUACACAUCCUUGUUACUCUUGCUUUCCUGUCUUGAGUGUCUUACCGGGAAGGAAGCGGCCGACGCCCACCGCGCUUCUUCUUCUCUUCCUCCUCUUGCUCCUUCUUGUCUUCCUCCUCGAUGCUGCUCCAGAUGUGGAAGGUGGGCGACCUGGGAAGCAGGAGGGCGAGCUGUCAAUCAAUGGCAGGAGCAGCGAGGAUGGAAGGAAGGCACCAAGGGAGCCGCUGCUACUGCUGCUGCGAAGUGCCUAGUCCCACCCAGGCGCGUGUCUGUCUCUCUCUGCGUGUGUGUGCCUUUUGCGCGUGUCUGUGUGUGAUAUCAGCUCUCUCUUGCACAGGAAACACCCAGCCACUUCUUCUUCCUCCUCCUCCUCCUCCUCUACCUCCUCCUCCUCCAGCUGCUCCAGGGCGGGCCAGGCGUCUCUCUGGGCUUCCCCAGCUGGGACACAUGAUUGCCCGCCUCCCUCGCCUGCCCGACUUCUCUUUCUUGCUCGCUCAUUGCUUCAUAUCACUAACCUUCUUGCUUGUUUGCUUGCUUUCUUGCUGGCCAGCCCUCUCUCAUUCCUUUUUGCUAGCUAGCCUUUUUGUUUUUUUUAAAUAG
rnacentral:lncRNA from 1 species